rnacentral:rRNA from 1 species
CAGUAGCCGCGGGAACACGGAGGGAGCUAGCGUUGUUCGGAAUUACUGGGCGUAAAGCGCACGUAGGCGGUUAUUCAAGUCAGAGGUGAAAGCCCGGGGCUCAACCCCGGAACUGCCUUUGAAACUAGAUGACUGGAAUCUUGGAGAGGUCAGUGGAAUUCCGAGUGUAGAGGUGAAAUUCGUAGAUAUUCGGAAGAACACCAGUGGCGAAGGCGACUGACUGGACAAGUAUUGACGCUGAGGUGCGAAAGCGUGGGGAGCAAACAGGAUUAGAUACCCGUGUAGUCCCUGUCUCUUAUAC